AUUGAACGCUGGCGGCAUGCUUUACACAUGCAAGUCGAACGGUAACAGGCCUUCGGGUGCUGACGAGUGGCGAACGGGUGAGUAAUGCAUCGGAACGUACCCAGAGGUGGGGGAUAACGCAGCGAAAGCUGUGCUAAUACCGCAUGUGAUCUGAGGAUGAAAGCGGGGGACCGAGCAGCAAUGUUUGGCCUCGCGCCUUUGGAGCGGCCGAUGUCGGAUUAGCUAGUUGGUGGGGUAAAGGCCUACCAAGGCGACGAUCCGUAGCUGGUCUGAGAGGACGAACAGCCACACUGGGACUGAGACACGGCCCAGACUCCUACGGGAGGCAGCAGUGGGGAAUUUUGGACAAUGGGCGCAAGCCUGAUCCAGCAAUGCCGCGUGAGGGAAGAAGGCCUUCGGGUUGUAAACCGCUUUUGGCAGGAACGAAACGGUGUCCGCUAAUACCGGGCGCUAAUGACGGUACCUGCAGAAUAAGCACCGGCUAACUACGUG
rnacentral:rRNA from 1 species